GACGAACGCUGGCGGCGUGCUUAACACAUGCAAGUCGAGCGGUAAGGCCCCUUCGGGGGUACACGAGCGGCGAACGGGUGAGUAACACGUGAGUAACCUGCCCCCCACAUUGGGAUAACC
rnacentral:rRNA from 1 species